ensembl:lncRNA
GGUUUGUAGCAAAUACUCAGUAAGAGUUAACCAUGAUUCUUUUAUGACUCAGAAGGUAUUAUGUAGUGGUUUCUUACAUUUUAGAGUCAUCAUUAGUUAUCUGCCUAUAAAUAUACAUAUAUAUGAAAUAAAUAUCAGGACAUACCAUAUCUAGAAAGAAUACACAUUCUUAUUGUGUGUAAUGUAUAAUUUUUUGGUCUAGGCUAAAUUGUAAAGUAUCAGUUGAUUCUUUAAGUUGGAGUUUUGCACAUAACAUGUAAUAAACAAAUGGAGAGCACACUAUUUAUUCAAUACUAAGAUGCAAUUUUUCUUCUAACAAUUCUCAAUUCUGAAAAUAACUUGUAAUCAAUGUGUAUAAAACUUUUGGUCCCCCAUUCAACAAAUAACUUGUUUUUGGAAUCAUGAAAAUAAUAUUUGGAAAUAUAUAGACACAUAUACACACACAUAUAUAUAGGUGUUAGUGCUAUGGAAUAGAUUCCGACUCCUAGCAACCCUGUGCACGGCAGAGUGGAACGCUGCCCAGUCUUUCUGCGCCAUCCUCUCAACUUCCGGCGCUAUGUCAACAAUGCUUGGUUGUUAUUCAUAGGGGUUUCAUGGCUAGUGUUUUCGAAAGUGAGAGUCCUGGUCCUUCUCCCUAGUCUGUCUUAGUCCGGAAGCUCCACCAAAACCCGUCUAGCAUGGGUGACCCUGCUGGUAUUUGAAAUACUGGUGGCAUAGCUUUCAGCAUCACAGCAACAUGCAGCCACCACAGUAUGACAACAGAAGGUAGUAUGGUUCCCUGACUGGGAAAGGAACCUGGGCCAUGGCAGUAAGAGCAAUGAACCCUAACCACUAGACUACCAGGGCUGGCUAUAUAUGAAUAUAUAUAAUCAAAUACCACCUUUUUACGUGUGUAUAUGUUUGUAUAUAAAGUGGCUUAAUUCAUAAAGAUAUUGAUACAUUUGACCAUAUGAAAAUUAAAAGACAUUUAAAGAAAAUGACAAGACCAGUCACCAAAUGGGAGAAAGUACAUGCAACACACAACUGAAGGUGAUAGCAUCAAGAAUAUAUAAAAAGUCAUACAGAUCAAUAAGAAAAAAAAUAGAAAAAUGGAAAAAAGACAGGACUAAGUAUUUCAUACAAAAGAAACACAUUUGGGGAGCUGGCCCCGUGGCCUAGUGGUUAAGUUCAGCACGCUCCACUUCAGUGGCCCGGGUUCAGUAUCCAGGCAGAGACCUACAUCACUCUUUGGAAGUAUGUUGUGGCGACAACCCACAAACAAAAAAAAAGAAGGGGCCCGCCUGGUGGCGCAGCAGUUAAGUUCGCACGUUCCGCUUCGGCGGCCUGGGGUUUGCCGGUUCAGAUCCCAGGUGCAGACCUAUGCACUGCUUGUCAAGCCAUGCUGUGGCAGGGGUCCCACAUAUAAGGUGGAGGAAAAUGGGCAUGGAUGUUAGCUCAGGGCCAGUGGUCUUCAGCAAAGAAGAAGAGGAUUGGCAGCAGAUGUUAGCUCAGGGCUAAUCUUCCUCAAAAGAACAAACAAACAAAGGAAGGCCAUGCUUAUUCAAAUGAUGAUAGUGUGUCCUGAACCAAGAAUUAUUAUUAAUCCAUUUCCAGGCAUCUGGGGUCCAGAAGAGACGGCAGCUCGUUUUAAAAGAUUAGUGGGUGAGUGCAUUAUUUGCUUUUACGACUUUCCUUGUUGUAUUUUGUGUUGUACUUGGUAUCUUAUGAGAGUUACUCCACAUAUCAUUGCCUUAUUUUUUACAGUAAAUGUCAAAAGAUAAAAUUUCACAAAAUAGAAGAGUGUUUCACAUUUUACAAAAUCUACUAUGGUGAUUGCUGCUGAGUAGGCAACGGACACCAUUGCUGAUGCCUUCAAAGACUCACCAAGUGUUUGGGGAGCUUAAUGAGAUAGCAGAAAUAGCAGACAGAUUUAAAAAACAAAAAAACUAGAGAAGCCUAUUUACUUUCUUUUUCUUUUUGCCAAUCACCUUUAUUUCCCAGAUCACAAGGUGCUGCACACGCCACGGGCUCCAGGUUCCCAGUGAGAGGUACUAAUCAGAUGGAGGAGAAUAAAGUCCACUGUCGAAUUUUAAAAAUGAAAUGUGUAUUUCCAUUUGUAGGUACAAUCAGAAAGAAAAUGUAUCACACAAAAUGGUUUUAAAAAAGACUCUAGAAGAAAGAUUUUGAAAUUCAUGAAUCUUCUAAUUAUUACUACCUACAUUUAGAUUUAAAUGCUAUAGAAAAGCACAGCUUUAGGCAUAUUAUGCUUUGCACUUAGUAAUUUUAAGUAUAAAAUUAAAAUUCGCUAUUGUGAUCAACCAAAUUCCUGGUAAUUGAACAAAGAAUAUAUAAUUUAGAGAUGUAGUAAAUGUCAAUAAAACAUCAUGGGUGACCAAUAUAUAGAACACAAAAACAGAAAGCCAGAAAUUUGAGCCAAGCUAACAAAACCAUUCAUAAUCAUGUAACUAAUUAUUCACUCUACAUAGCAUGGUCUUGACUAAUUCCAGAAAUGGAAAGGCAGAAAUGUUCUCUUCCCAGAACUUUAAGAAGAUGAUGACAACAGACUUGGCCUUGGAUCAUAAUCUCCCAACAGUGCUGUCAAGGAGUUCAGCUGAGGAGCACAUGUGCACGUUUCCUCAAUGGUCACUCCUGGAGCCACGCUUCAAGACUCAUCUGUUCUCACUCAGAGAGCUUUCUAAUUCAAGAGGAGCUAGGAGUGGGGGAUAACAAGUAGGAAAGCAGAUAUUUGAGUUUUUAACCUCCACCAUAAAUGAAGAUCACAAGACAAUGAACAUCAGCUGGAAGCAUUUGUUCUUCAUUUGGUAGCAAAUGACAAAGCUCUGAAAUGUGGCUGAUUGGAGGUGUGCUCUAAGAAGCUUAAUCUAGAAAAGAAAAAUAAAAUUAAUUGCAAGGGGAAAACAGAGGUGUAAAAAACAAGUAGAUGGCCAAUUCAUCAUUCAAGUAAGAGAUAAACAAGGUUGGAGUUCCAUGGAAUGAGUGGCAAUGGAAAGAAAAAGACACAUGUCAGAGGUACUGCAGAGAUCGAAUCAGGCAAGAUAUUUAAUUGGAAGAAGAGAUGGAGAAAGAGACAAGCAAUCGAAAAUGACACUGAUAUUCCAGACCAGGGUAAAAGGCAGUUCCACUAACAGAAAUAGAAGUGAGUGAAGUCUGAAGUUGUUGCUGAUUUUCCCAAGGAAGAUUAUCACUUGCUUUGGGGCAUGCUGAGUUUGUGUUGCCUGCUGAGCAUCCUACUGGAGAAAUACAUCUAGAUAUAGAGCUAUUCCUGAAAGUCAACAGACCAUAGCAAUUAAAAGCAUGGGCUUUGGAAUCAGCUAGAGCUCAGAUUCCUCAUCCACAAUAUGAAGGUAAUAUCAGAUCCUACUUUCCUGGAGAAGCCUAACUGAGGAAAUAUUUAAUGCACAGUGACUGCCUCAUAAAAAUUUUUAUGUAUUUGAGCUGAGGAGUAGCUACAUGUAAAUGCUCAUGGAAGCUAUGAGAAUGGGAGAAAUAACUAAAAACAAGACUGUAGAAAGAGAGCAUGUGAUGUGAAUGCCACUCAAAAACAGUGAGAAACACAGUGAUAACUAAGCCAACCUUUUAGUGAUUCUGGAUUCAAGACUGGAUGUGGAAUUAUGAACCAAAAGGCCCAGGGAUACGAUAUAUCUGCUCUUAAACACCCAAGAGGCCUCUCUCUUUCGGCACGUUGAUUGUCUAACUCUGUUUCUAUGUAGAUGCCUGGUACACUUAUCUCCAGUAUUGUCUACUGAUCUUAGAGUCCAUCACUCGGUAGAGAGGACUGGUGAGUCAGGAAAGUCUUGAUGCCUGGAUGAAUGGAUAGAUGGAUAGAUAGACAGACAGACAGAUAGAUAAAUAGAUAGAUAGGGGAGAUGGUGUAUUGUGGAGCACUGCCUGAAAUUAAAAGGAUUCUGUCAGAAGAUCUUAUACAAGGUUAAUUAACUUAGAGAUACAGUAGACUCCUGGCAUAAUAAAUUUAACAUUUGUAUUUUCAGCCUCUCACAAAAGUUGAUGAUAUGCAGACAAAAGAGAAAAUUGGCUAGGGAGUAAGCCUACAUAACUGUCAGCAUUUUUAUCUCAACACGUCUCUCUUGUAAAAAAAAAAAAAAGAAAUUAUCCAUUUCCAACUCUCUUUCCCAAAUAUUUAACCCAAAAACUGGAAAUAAAAGUAAAGAAGCCAGUGAGAGCACUGAUUGGUUGCUAAGAUUGGCAUGUUCAAUUCAGCAGUGACUUGGUGCCUUAGAAUGAUAUGAAUAUCUUCUAUGGAAAUAAAAUCACUUGAUGAACAGUUUUCAUCUAUACUGCAGUCAAAAGAAAAAUUGUUCACUUAGUAAGAAAGAAAACUUUAUCAAAAGUUGAAAAGAUUGUUAAAAUGUGAUGUUGCAUAAACAUCUUACAUGUUAAUUUGGGAAUUCAUGAGGUGUCAUGUGUCAUGUGUGUGCAAUAUUGGUUGGUUAAGGGCAUGCCUUUUUAUAGGGAAAUACCCUUUAGAAAAACAAUUGGUCGGGGACCAGGCCCGUGGCAUAGUGUUUGGGUUCACACGCUGUGCUUUACUGGCCUGGGGUUCACAGGUUCGGAUCCCAGGGGUGGACCAACAGACUGCUUAUCAGGCCUUGCUGUGGCGGCAUCUCACGUAUAGAAUAGAGGAAGAUUGGCACAGAUGCUAGCUCGGGGACAAUCUUCCUCAAGGACGAAGAAGAGGAUUAGAUCAUUAGGCAGAGAAAUAGGACUUUAAGUCUCAGUUUGCCACGUAGCCACUUACUUCUGCAUCUUGUCACAUAAAUAAGCCUUGGCAAGUAUGUCACAGAAUCAGCCCAGUCCUCAGUUUACUUAUCACAGAAGAAAAGACGGUGAAUGGACUGUACUAAAUGACCGUUAGCUCUAAGAACUUUCCAGGUCUGACAAUUUAUGACACUCUAUAGAAGUGGAUUCUGCAAUAUGUAUUGUGUUAAUGUUCCAUUCUUUUUUUACACUCCUUUAAAUUAUAUGUUUGGGAUGAGUAAAAGAGUCUCACGUGUUUUCACAGAAGACCUUGAUUUUUGUUAAUUUUCCCCGGUACUGGGUUCCAGAGUGACUGAUAAAAUGGGGCUAUCAGGUGAAGGCAAUUUUCCAAGCCUUCUCAUUAGAGUAAGCCUAGAGAUCGCUUCCUAAGAACAAGAUAUGAUUUUGAAAAAUUUCUAACUAGCCAAGAAAAUCACAUAGGGCCUCUUUUGGCUGCUUCUUGUGCUCAGUUGUACUAGUUCCUCAACAGAGGCCAGCAUCUACUUGGAGUUUGCUGUCUUUGUCAAGUUCCUUUUAUUCAAGCAAGAGGCAGUGGUGGAAAGUUUCACCAAAACAAAAUUCAAAAGUGCCUCAAAUUAGGACAUAUAAUCUGUCUUUGUGGCUCAGUUAUAGUUCUUGACCAAACCUUGCCAGAGGGAGUGCAGCACAGGUUAUGGGGCCCGGUCUCCAGCUUCCUCACACAUAUCUAGAUUCAGCAGGAACGGCUCUAAAUGGAACAAAAUAAAACCCUUAGAAUGGUUUUUCCUCAAAGGAUACAUUGAUUGCUCUUCUUCGACUGAAUUCUGUUCAUCUUGAUAUACUGAAGAGCAGUUCGUAGUAAGAAAAGAUAUUUUUCAACAAUAUUUUUUAUAAUAAUUAUUAUCACUUUAAAUUUGAGGGAUUGAAAAUGUAUUUGGAAAUAUUUGACCUAAAUUAGUUAAAGUUGCACUGACUUUAGAACAUAUUCCAUUCUUUGUGGCUGACACUACAAAAAUAUUCCCCAUCUGCCAAGCUCCGAACUCAACGCAUUCGGGAGAAGACUCAGAAACCUGCUCCACUGGCUAGCUCCGACUGUUAAAACAGAAACUCGUUCAAAACAUAGAACAUUUACUGACUUGAGAUGGUCAAGGACCCCUUGGAGAGAUUACAAAGCAUGCCAAAUAGAUUUCAGGCAAUUAAGAUCAUAAUAAAAAGUACAUCCAGAAUAUCAAGAAUUUACAAGACAGAGCCAUAUUAUUUCUGAAGACUUUAUGGCAUGUCCUUUUAACAAGUUUUAAUAGCUCUUCCUUGAAUAAAAUGCUCACAAUGAAACUGGAUAAUCAAAAUUGCUCUCAGCCUCUUUGCCUGAGUCAGAUAGUACUUGCCAGAGUUUUUAGAGUAGCAUCAGAAAAUACUGAUGCCACUAAAUCACUUGCUUCAAGAUCAGAGCCCUCUAAUUUUAAAUCACUGAUCAAACUAAGCCAUUUGGAGGCGCCCUGAUUUCUCUUGCUUCUGAGGCUUAUUAUAUUCAUUACCUCACUUCAACCAGGUUCUGGAUGACUUGUUUCUGUUCUAGUUAGAGCCGAUGUAAGAACGGUUUAAUGAUACUAAUAAGUAUGGGCCUGAGUCUGCCAUCCCUGUGGCCAUGCAACUUCCAUAAAGUCAAGAAGCCCUUUCAAAGCGCCUUAACCUUGAGGAUUCAUGUGCUGUCCAUAUGGGAAGACUUGUACAUCUUUAAGACGAUUGCUUCUUUGUUGCUAUUAUUAUCUUCUCAAAACAAAUAGAACAAACAGUGCACGUCAUGCCCAUCUUUUUCAGAGAAGAUAUCUUCAGAAAGCCCUUAAUGGGCCAACUGGAAACUGUUCUAACAGUACAGUCUUUCCUGGUUUUUCAAUUUACUACAGGUGGAUAAUCUCGGCAAAACCCAAGACAGUGAACAGAUUGAAUCACUUUUAACAGUUUGAGUCUUGAACGAAUUCCAAAGUGCUUAGACUCAAGCUGUUUUGCUUUCCUUUAACUAAUACCUCAAAUAAAGAUUAAAUAAUUUUUCUUUGAAAACUGGCCCAAAGUACUGGAAAAUUGCAUGCUUUUGAAAACCACAUUCAUUAUAAAAUGAGCAUUUGAGCAUUAUAAUUACACUGAUAUUUUAACUGGUGUUGCCAUAAAUUUAGGGGCAGGGACUGUCUCUUCAAAUCUUUCUUUGGUAUGCUGAAGUUCUCUUAAAGAGACACAAUUCUAAUAAAUUGAGAAAAUAAAACAUAACUGGGAUAUUUUGUUAUAUAAAUACUAUAACGGGUUUUGAAAAGAAAAGUUGCAAGCUUUCAACAUUGAACACAGUAAGGUAUUUUCCAAUCUUGUAAUUGGGCCUCAAAAGUCUAGUUUGGUAUAAAAUCCAUGAUCAAUUUAACACCAACGAACAUUUAAGGCUGAGCUUGCUUACCAUCAACUGAAACAAAGAUCAGGAAAGUAGAAGCAUGCAUGUGGCUUUAAAAGAUGGUAUAUAUUCUGUUAAAUUAUAGUGCAUAAAAUAAAAUAAAUCAAAAUAUAAAGCUUGACCGACUAGCAUGCAAUCUCUGAGAUUCAAUUUCAAGAUACUUGAAAAUGACCUCUCUGUUUAAAGUAUGUACAUUUAGACGUCUUCAAAAUUUUCUUUGGCUUUCCAUUGUUGAUGAGCACAGCCCAAACUACCUCUUACUUCCUUGAUUUAAAUACGGCAAAUGCUAAGGAGAAAGCUAGAUUACUGAUUCUGGACAUAAAGGAAGAAAGCAUUAGCAAUAAUGCCCAGUAGACUUAUCCUAGGGUAUAUAUAGAAAAAUGUACUUUUUAUAGACAUCCUGUGUCAAAGAAAACCUUUCAAUGGAGCCAUCUCAUUCUACUAUAUGCACAGGAAAUGUUCACUGUCAUAAUCACAAGGAUCAAUGAAUACUAUAGAAGCCACAUUGUGAGGUUAAAUGGGUGCAGACUUUGCCAUUAUUUUCAGGCUGACAUUUCCAGCCAAAUUUAUAUUGAUUCUUGAAGGAUAGGAGCUAUCGAGGAGGUGGCAUAAAGAUAAUUUAUCAUAACAGUUCCUUUGGAAUUUAAACAUUAGGGGAAAAAAAUCCAAAAUUGGCACCUGUGUCAUAUAAAAUGCAUAGCUACAUAAGAAAGCCUCAUCUUUUUGUAAAAACUUCUGUUUCCCCAGUUACGCUGCUUGAAAGUGAAUCUGUGUACCAGAAGGUUGUUCAGGAUUAUGAAACUUAAUGCAUUUCACCACAAGCAAAUAUAAACAUUUUCAAGAAAAGCACAAGGCAAGACACAUGAAAGACCAUAUGUUUUCAAUGCUCUCCAUGUCAAAACAAUACCAGUCUCCAGAAAAUAACUGCUAGUCACAUGGAAUUAUUUUGCCAGAUAUCUUCCAAAAGUUACUUGGAAGAAAGUACAGUGCACUCCACGUACCAUGUAAUAGAUAAAAAUAGAUUUCCCCAGACCAAAUGUAUUACACUGAUGAAUUAUUUUAUUGGCCAUAAUGCUUUAUAAGAUUUCUGAGUUUUACUGCUCAUGGGUUAGUGGCAAAGGUGAAAAUGAGAUAAGAGAAAACAGAGGCUUAAUUUUCUGGAAAAUGUUUCUCAAGAAGCUGUGUCAACUCCUUUUAGUUAAACUAAUAUUCUUGAUACAGAAAAAUAGACAGGGCAUUUUCCCUUCCCAGAGGCUAAGGGUUUUUUGUUUUUUUUUCUUCUCCUGCUGAAAGCCUGUAACCUUUCUCAGGUUCAUGCAGCACUUGCCGUUCUCUAUGUUGAAGAUCAAACACACACACACACACACACACACACACACACACACACGAGAACAAGAACAAAUCAACUUAGGAGGGAAAGGGUGAGGCAAAGGGUCUCUAUGAGACCUUCCAGCUGUAACAUUCCCAGGACUACCUUUUAACCAGCAUCAAAAUACUGCUCAGCAAACUAGAUGGAUGGGCACGCAAAUGACUUGUUCAAUCACUCAUCCUCUAUCACAUUGCUCUUAGCAUGGCCUCUUGCAUUGCCAAACCACUUUCUAAAUAAUGAGAGCAAAAACUUGGUGAAUGAGUCCUGAAAAAAACCCUCUAAUAUCAAAGGAACAAACCAUUCCCUAGAAAUAGCCACCCACCCUGAAGAUAGGGAAAGCGAAAUGGAAGGAUUCUUCACUCAUGAUUCUAGGAGGAUUGUCUGUCCCUUCCAGAAUGCGCUUCUUAAUGUUUUUAUAUUUUGAAAGCCCACAAUUUACUUCUAAUCUUUCCAUUUCUUGAAGACCGAACACACUCCAGACCCUUUGCUAGGUGCUUAUUACACCUUACUUCAUCCAAUCUUUUCAGCAACCUAAAGCACAUCUGGAUGCACAGAACGGGCUAAAUAAUUUGUGGCGCCCAGUGGAAAAGGAAAAUGUGGGGUCCAUGGUUCAAAAAAGCAGUUUAAUAAACGCUGUCGAACGUGAAAGCACACUGGCUCUGAGGUCUGCAACGUAAAACCGUGGAGGUCCUGAGGCCCGGCGGCCCACCCUGUUCUCAUUCCUUUCCUGUGCUAACGCUACACUGAAGAAAGUUUUAAUGGUUUGGAGUAAACAGAGCAAGAUUAAAAAGAAAGCUUGUAGAAAAUAGACUCUCAAAAAAUUAAAGACAAUAAUUACUACAUUAAAAAUGCCAUCAUUUGUGCCUUAAUAAUAUGACCUAUCAUAAAAAUGCCAUUUUAAUUGUUUUACCAUCU